rnacentral:rRNA from 1 species
UGACAGGUGGUGCAUGGUUGUCGUCAGCUCGUGUCGUGAGAUGUUGGGUUAAGUCCCGCACGAGCGCAACCCCUAUUGUUAGUUGCCAUCAUUCAGUUGGGCACUCUAGCGAGACUGCCGGUAAUAAACCGGAGGAAGGUGGGGAUGACGUCAAAUCAUCAUGCCCCUUAUGACCUGGGCUACACACGUGCUACAAUGGUUGGUACAACGAGUUGCGAGUCGGUGACGGCGAGCUAAUCUCUUAAAGCCAAUCUCAGUUCGGAUUGUAGGCUGCAACUCGCCUACAUGAAGUCGGAAUCGCUAGUAAUCGCGGAUCAGCACGCCGCGGUGAAUACGUUCCCGGGCCUU